CUACGGGGGGCUGCAGUGGGGAAUAUUGCACAAUGGGGGAAACCCUGAUGCAGCAACGCCGCGUGGAGGAUGACACAUUUCGGUGCGUAAACUCCUUUUAUAUGAGAAGAUAAUGACGGUAUCAUAUGAAUAAGCUCCGGCUAACUCCGUGCCAGCAGCCGCGGUAAUACGGGGGGAGCAAGCGUUACUCGGAAUCACUGGGCGUAAAGAGCAUGUAGGCUGAUAAAAAAGUUAGAAGUGAAAUCCUGUGGCUUAACCAUAGAACUGCUUCUAAAACUCUUUAUCUAGAAUAUGGGAGAGGUAGAUGGAAUUUCUGGUGUAGGGGUAAAAUCCGUAGAGAUCAGAAGGAAUACCGAUUGCGAAGGCGAUCUACCGGAACAUAAUUGACGCUGAGAUGCGAAAGCGUGGGGAGCAAACAGGAUUAGAUACCCCAGUAGUC
rnacentral:rRNA from 1 species